GAUGAACGCUGGCGGCGUGCCUAACACAUGCAAGUCGAACGGAGUCCAGCCUUAGAGCCCUUCGGGUCAAAGAGGGGAAGACUGAGUGGCGGACGGGUGAGUAACACGUGGGCAACCUGGCUCAUAGAGGGGGAUAACAGAGAGAAAUUUCUGCUAAUACCGCAUAAGCACACACUGCCGCAUGGCAGAGUGUGAAAAGAGAAUCGCUAUGAGAUGGACCCGCGUCUGAUUAGCCAGUUGGCAGGGUAAGAGCCUACCAAAGCGACGAUCAGUAGCCGAUUUGAGAGGAUGAACGGCCACAUUGGGACUGAGACACGGCCCAAACUCCUACGGGAGGCAGCAGUGGGGGAUAUUGCACAAUGGGGGGAACCCUGAUGCAGCGACGCCGCGUGAGUGAAGAAGUAUUUCGGUAUGUAAAGCUCUAUCAGCAGGGAAGAUAAUGACAGUACCUGAAGAAGAAGCCCCGGCUAACUACGUG
rnacentral:rRNA from 1 species